AUUGCGGUCAUACCGUGGUUGCCAUAACAACAGUAAGUACAUUUAUAUAAUUGUGCGCUAGUAGUACAUUAUUGAUAAUAUUUAAUAGAAGCCUAUAUAUUUUGGGUAAUUUAAGCAUUACAGAAGUAGUUCUGAAAAAUAUUAAAUGUAAUAAUUAUUAAACUAUAUCUCUCUGUAUUUGUUUAUUUAGCAGACACCUUUAUCCAAGGUGUCUUACAGAGACUAGGGUGUGUGAACUAUGCAUCAGCUGCAGAGUCACUUACAAUUAUGUCUCUCCCGAAAGACAGAGCACAAGGAGGUUAAGUGACUUGCUCAGGGUCACACAAUGAGUCAGUGGCUGAGGUGGGAUUUGAACCGAGAACCUCCUGGUUACAAGCCCUGUUCUUUAACCACUGGACCACACAGCCGCCUUCAGCUCUCUCAAUGGCCCUAUUGUCAGCUGUAUCUACUGCAAUUUUAAUAUGUACAUUGCCCUGUAGAUCACAAUAUGAUGAGGGAGUGUUUAGUGCAGGAGACUGAGACUCUCCUUCGGCUCAGCCAAGUUAAACGGUGAGCCACAUACCGUGGGGUGUUGCCUAAAGAGAUAUACACUGUUGGAUAUUGCUUGGUACACAAAUUCUAAUGAUCUCCAUGUCUUCUUACCUUAUUAGCAUUAUAGUAGUAUUGCCAUGGAUUCUCCCCUUGUCUUGAAAAUAUUUUGGUUAUUGCCUUUGUUUUAUAUACAGCUAUGGCCAAAAGUUUUGCAUCACCUAGAAUUUUAUGAACAUAAUUUAGAUCUUUCAAUAAAGAAACUACAAAGUGAUAUCGUAAAAGCCUACCGGAAUAGUAGUACACUAUUUCAUUGUAGAUUUUGAAAUGUCAUAUUUUUUCUAUUUUUGUCAGUUUUUUUGUUAAGUAUAUGGAAAACAAAGCGGUAUGUAAUUCUAUAUGUUAACGUAACAUUAUUCAGCUGGUUUCAUUCGACUUUAGGAAGCAAAAAUUGUUAAUUCUAUAGGGCGUUACAAAACCUUUGGCCAUAGUUGUACACUGAUUCAGGAUAUACAGAUGUUUCUACUGCAGUACUGUAGAUCAAAAUAAUUAAAUUGCUCCUCCUUAGUAUCUUAACAGCUUCCUGUGCUGUUGGUCACAUGCCUUGAUUGCAGCUAGACUAUUGGAACAAAGCUAUAGGAAUUGAAGUGAUUGGGCACCAAAAAACAUCAACAACUUUUACUUUAAAAUAUAUCUGCAUAUUUCAAACUAAAGAAUAAAUUACAUGCAAAGAGCAAAAAGAUCUUCGACAGCAGAAAAGAGGACCAGUCAUAAUAUUGCUAGUUUAGAUGUUCGCCUCUUGUUUAUCCCUCCAUUAUUAUAUGCUUUCAGCUGUUAGUGCCUUUUUUUGUUUUGUAGUUAAUUUUUAUUUUAGUUUUUAUAAAUGUAUUUGUAGUCCUUGCAUGAUCCAGAAUUUGAUCUUGGGGAGGGAUCACACAUAUCAGGAUGCCCAGCAGACUCUUGAGGAAGCAAAUAAGCUCUGCUCAGGUCGCACCUCAGUUGACGUUAUCUUCGGCCGUCCAGGACAGAGUGUGGAAUCAUGGGAAAAAGAGCUAGAGGAGCUGCUAUUGGUCUGCGAUGAUCAUGUGUCCCUGUAUCAGCUAACCCUGGAGAGAGGAGCCCACGAUAGGUUUCUCCUGCAGGAGACAGGGCGAUGCUGAGAGAAGCCCGGAUUUAGACUCUUCAACCAGACGUCUGGAUGAGGGAGGUGCAGAGGUGUGGUCAUGGAACCAGGAAGAGAGUGCCUCUGAGCCGAGUUGGUGUGUGAGUUAACAAAGCAGUACAGACAACACCACCUGUGCCUGGAGACAACGGCUUUAAUUCUGAAGAAGACAUGGUGAUGGGUCUGCGGAUGACAGUGGGCAUCACUCAUGAAGUACAUCUGUACAGUUAGAACUGCACUGUCUGUCCUGAGUGGAGCCUACAGGAAGUCGUCACAGGGUCCCAGGAAGUGCAAGGCCUGCUCCGGGAAGGUUUGCUGAUCACGGACAGCAGAAGACUGAUAGACAACCCCUCAUACUACCCUGUGUAUAUGAACUCACGACACAGCUCCUUGUGCAGCAGCUGAAAGAGGCUUUACAGAUCACAUUUUAUCUGCCGUUCUGAAAACUGUUUUCUUCUACGUUGAAAUACGUUAAUACAUAAAGGACUUCAAAAACUAA